GAUGAACGCUGGCGGCGUGCUUAACACAUGCAAGUCGAACGGAAAGGCUCCUGCUUGCAGGGGCACUCGAGUGGCGAACGGGUGAGUAACACGUGGGUGAUCUGCCCUGCACUUCGGGAUAAGCCUGGGAAACUGGGUCUAAUACCGGAUAGGACCAUCGUUUAGUGUCGGUGGUGGAAAGUUUUUUCGGUGUGGGAUGAGCUCGCGGCCUAUCAGCUUGUUGGUGGGGUAAUGGCCUACCAAGGCGUCGACGGGUAGCCGGCCUGAGAGGGUGUACGGCCACAUUGGGACUGAGAGACGGCCCAGACUCCUACGGGAGGCAGCAGUGGGGAAUAUUGCACAAUGGGCGCAAGCCUGAUGCAGCGACGCCGCGUGGGGGAUGACGGCCUUCGGGUGGUAAACUCCUUUCGCCAGGGACGAAGCGAAAGUGACGGUACCUGGAGAAGAAGCACCGGCUAACUACGUG
rnacentral:rRNA from 1 species